rnacentral:rRNA from 1 species
AUUGAACGCUGGCGGCAUGCCUUACACAUGCAAGUCGAACGGCAGCGGGGGAGAAGCUUGCUUUUCCUGCCGGCGAGUGGCGAACGGGUGAGUAAUACAUCGGAACGUGCACUGUAGUGGGGGAUAACUAGUCGAAAGAUUAGCUAAUACCGCAUACGACCUGAGGGUGAAAGUGGGGGACCGCAAGGCCUCAUGCUAUAGGAGCGGCCGAUGUCUGAUUAGCUAGUUGGUGGGGUAAAGGCCUACCAAGGCGACGAUCAGUAGCUGGUCUGAGAGGGCGAUCAGCCACACUGGGACUGAGACACGGCCCAGACUCCUACGGGAGGCAGCAGUGGGGAAUUUUGGACAAUGGGCGAAAGCCUGAUCCAGCAAUGCCGCGUGUGUGAAGAAGGCCUUCGGGUUGUAAAGCACUUUUGUACGGAACGAAAAGGCUCUGGUUAAUACCUGGGGCUCAUGACGGUACCGUAAGAAUAAGCACCGGCUAACUACGUGCCAGCAGCCGCGGUAA